rnacentral:rRNA from 1 species
UACGUAGGGGGGCUAGCGUUGUCCGGAAUCAUUGGGCGUAAAGCGCGUGUAGGCGGCCCGGUAAGUCCGCUGUGAAAGUCGGGGGCUCAACCCUCGGAUGCCGGUGGAUACUGUCGGGCUCGAGUACGGAAGAGGCGAGUGGAAUUCCUGGUGUAGCGGUGAAAUGCGCAGAUAUCAGGAGGAACACCGGUGGCGAAGGCGGCUCACUGGCUCGUAUCUGACGCUCAGGCGCGACAGCGUGGGGAUCAAACAGG